rnacentral:misc_RNA from 1 species
GAAAUGCGAUAAGUAAUGUGAAUUGCAGAAUUCAGUGAAUCAUCAGAUCCUUGAACGCAACUGGCGCUGAGGGGAUAUCCUCUCAGCAUGUCUGUUUCAGUGUCUGAUAACUUCCAAGCUAAUCAUAAUGUGUUUGACAAGGGAAAGAUGAAUCAUCUCAUUUCUCCCAAGUCUUACAUGAAAGAUGCAUGUAUUGGUUCUUGGAACCAUCGAAUUGGUCACUGACAUUUCAGUGAUUUCGAUAGGUCAUCCAAUUACCUGUAUAUACAUGGUGUAUAUAUACAUAUACACACACAUAUACUCUCUCUAAUAUCUGCAUCUGAAAUCAGGCAAGAACACCCGCUGAACUUAA